rnacentral:piRNA from 1 species
UGCUUAACUCGACCAGUCUUUCUUCGUAA